GAAGGAUGACACCACAUUUACAACUGCCACUCAGCUUUGAAGUCGGCAGAGUGGGUCAUGUCACCACCUGCUUUAAACCCUUCAGCGGUUUCUCACUGAUUCAGGAUAAAGAACAGAAUCCUUCAUACAGCUUAUGAGAUUCUACAUGAGUCGUGCUCUGUCAGUCUCUCCAAGCAAUGUUUUGUUUUCUGAUUCGCUUCAUUUUCCGUGUUAGUAUUUACUGAGGUUGCCAGGUUCUCACGUGGGUUAGUACUAAGCUGUCUCUAAGUGAGCUCAUUAAUAUCGUGGCAGCUCACAGGAAUGGCAAAAGGUCCUUGAGGCUUAAGCUGUGCUUGAAGUUUUGAUGAAGGUAGGAGUCCUGACUGGAUCUGUCCUCAACGACAGUGAAUCCUUUUGGUUUCAGAUGCAGUGCAUGGAGCACAAAUAUUCAUGCAUUUAUAGAUGAUGCUACUGCUAGGUCGCCAGGUCACAAGUGGGUCUUUCAAGCCUGCAUGUUGCCGAGGGACUCUAAACUGAUCCAUUCCCAGCGCAACCUUUCCACAUUCUACCUGUAAUAGUUCUGGAUUCCAGCUUUGCCCUGCAGCUGGGGUGAAGAAGGCCUACCAAAAGUUGCAAAUGAAGUACCUAUGUCCCAGAGGUGUUGAUAAAAUGGAUUUUAAAAAAAGAAUCAUAUGAAUAAUUCAAUGCUGUGGGUCCUGUAGUGGUGGGAUUAUUUUGCACUACACAAGAAACAUGGAGUGUGCUUUAUCUUAGAUGUAGGCAGCCUAGUGGGCUGGAACCAGAUGUAGGCCAUUGGAUUUGCUCUCAGGCUGUAUCAGGUCAAAUGGAGAGAUAUGAAGAGGUCAUCCUUCCUCGUUUUGAUAAAUCACACACACACAUUUUCUUGGAGUGUAACAGUGAUGUUGCCACCAUUGUUUUGUUUUAAAACUUAGGAAAUACUCAACCUGGUUGUAAUAAAAGAUGAUAACUUAAUGAAUAAUAGGGUCACCCAUCU